GGGAGCUCCUAAAAUGAGGAUUUAGAGGUGAGAUAAUAAAGGUUUUUGUUUUCAAAAUGGAAGAUUAAAGUACCUUGUGAAUGACACAUUCUCAAAUAGGAGAGUCACUGGCUGCAAGGGAAGGUCUAAUCCAUUCCUCUCAAGGUCAACAUGGAAUUCCUCUACCCAUCUUUCCAUUCCACCAUUUUGCUUCAUUUUUCCAUAGUCCAUCCAUGAAUUUUUUGAACUAGAGAAUCUGGAAGCAUCAGAAUGCCCCAAAUUCUCACUGUAACUGUUGUAUGACCGAGAUUCAUUCUCUGCAUCUUCUCUGUAGUUGCUAAUCAUUGGGGUUUUUCUCAGGUAGGGCAAUGAUUGGCUCAUCUCCGCAAAUUCUAUAUUCUUUAGCCCCAACAAUGCCAAGAAAUUAGCAAUGACUGUCCAUCCUAGGAUAAU
rnacentral:misc_RNA from 1 species